UAUCUCUGUAGAGUCUGCAUAUCAAUAAGCGGAGGAAAAGAAACUAACUAGGAUUCCCCUCAGUAACGGCGAGUGAAGCAGGAAGAGCUCAAAUUUGAAAUCUUCAAGGUUUUACCUUGACGAAUUGUAGUUUAAAGAAGUGUUUUCUGUUAGGAGUUAGGUAAAAGUUCUUUGGAAUAGGACAUCAUAGAGGGUGAGAAUCCCGUAUUUGACUAUUCUUUCUAACUUUGUGAUACACUUUCAAAGAGUCGGAUUGUUUGGGAAUGCAGUCCAAAAUGGGUGGUAAAUUUCAUCUAAAGCUAAAUAUUGGCGAGAGACCGAUAGCGAACAAGUACCGUGAGGGAAAGAUGAAAAGAACUUUGAAAAGAGAGUUAAACAGUACGUGAAAUUGUCAAAAGGGAAGCGUUUGACACCAGUGUUGUUUUCUCGAAAAUCAAUUAAAAAUGGCCGGAUUUUGUGUUGUAUUGACUUUAUCAGCUUUCUGCACUUUUUUCCUAUACCUUUUUUAAUGCACUUUUCGUUUAACAAGUCAACAUCAAUUUCUUUUGUUGUAAAAGAGUCAUUGGAAGGUGGCUUUCACUUCGGUGAAAGUGUUUAUAGCCUUUGACUUCUGCAAUCGGAGAGAUUGAGGUCUGCAGCGUAGAUCCUUCGGGGUUAGAUACAUUUGUGCUAAGUUAUAGCCUUUCAUAGACAACUUGUUGGCUAUGAUCAGUCAUGUAGCUUACUCGCUUAUGGCAUUUUACCUACGCUUAGGAUGUUGAGUAGCGACAUACGCAC
rnacentral:rRNA from 1 species